CUUCUUCAUAUCCUUCUUCUUCUUCAUAUCCUUCUUCUUCAAAUCUUCAGAUCUUCUUCUUCAGAAGGUUGUGAGAGGAAAAGAAAAAACCCUCCUCUCAAUUCCAUGGCCGACGACAUCGCCGCCGUUCUCAGCGAUGUCGACGAUGAAGAUGCCUCCCCGGUCCCCGCCUCGGAUGAACAACAACAACGAAUACGCCACUGUAUUCGCCACUGUGAUGAACAACACUUCCUCCUCGGAUGAACAGCACUCUCCUCUCAGUUCCUUACCCUCCUCUUCUCCCGCUCUCCCUCUCGCUUCCCCUCGCUCCCCAAAACCCCGAACCCUAGGCUCCCCUCCUCAUCUCUCCUCGUUAGGGCGAAAUCGAAGCUCAACGGAGCCCAAAACCCUAAGAAAUCGAAUUGUCGAGGAGGAGGAAGAGGUGGAGGAGGACUUGCCAUGGAUUCAGGAUUUUCCCUCAUCAAAUUUAAGUGGGAAGGAUUUCGGAUCCAAUUCGAAAUCCUUCCCAAAGCACUCAAGUUAAUCUCAAGAUUUAUUUGAUAUUCUCCAUUAACACAGUCGUUAAUUACCCAUUAAUCUAAUCCUAUCUUUACAUGGAUAUAUGAUAUUCAGGUUUUUGGAUAUGCUCGAAGAUUUGCCAAACUUGGAAUUGCAAAUGCUCUCAUUGGUGUACUCCGGGGAGGAGAACCCAGUUCAUCUAGUUUAAUUUCAGCAUGCAUAGCUUUAAAGGCAGUUGCUGUUAAUUUUGGCUUUGUACUUGUAUAAUGUUAUGUGGUUACAUACUUACAUCCUCAAAAAAUUUGUAAGAAGCUAAGACAACAAGGAAUUGAUGGGCCAAAACCCUCUUUCCUCCAUGGUAAUUUAAAGGACAUGAAGAUGUUGGCUAUGGAGGAGGAGAGGAGAGAUGGAGGAGCAAUAAUACACUAUUAUACUCCGCUUCCAUACUUUGAGAAAUGGAGGAAAAGAUAUGGUAUGUGUUCUUAAUUGCUUUCUUGUAAGAAUCUCAAGGUUUUGGUUUUGGUUUUGGUUUUGGUUAGUCUACAUGUCAUAGGUCACAAGGAACUGCUCGCUGCCCUCAUCCCCUUCAAUCGAGCACGAAUUUGUAACAACAAGGCUGGCAUCAUCAACAUCAAAAACAAGUGAGUGAGAAUAAAGAUAAACAUCAAAUGAGCUCCUGGUGUUUGAAAGAUUAUAAUUUUUUUUCAUGCGUCUUGUUUAUUUCUGAGAUGAGAAUGAGUGUAUGAAGAGGACUAUUGUAAGUGCAUGUUAUUAUUCCUUGAAAUCACGCUGAUGGAAUUUUAAGAACGGUUUUUUAAGGGUCAUUAAGAAAAUGGAACAUCAAAAUUUGAGAAUA